GUUAGGGUUAGGCAUUAGGGUUAGCAGUGUGGUUAAGGUUAGGGUUAGGCAUUAGUGUUAGCAGUGUGGUUAAGGUUAGGCAUUAGGGUUAGCAGUGUGGUUAGGGUUAGGGCUAGGCAUUAGGGUUAGCAGUGUGGUUAGGGUUAGGCAUUAGGGUUAGCAGUGUGGUUAAGGUUAGGGUUAGGCAUUAGGGUUAGCAGUGUGGUUAAGGUUAGGCAUUAGGGUUAGCAGUGUGGUUAAGGUUAGGGUUAGGCAUUAGGGUUAGCAGUGUGGUUAAGGUUAGGCAUUAGGGUUAGCAGUGUGGUUAAGGUUAGGCAUUAGGGGUAGCAGUGUAGUUAAGGUUAGGGUUAGCAGUGUGGUUAAGGUUAGGCAUUAGGGGUAGCAGUGUGGUUAAGGUUAGGGUUAGCAGUGUGGUUAAGUUAGGGUUAGGCAUUAGGGUUAGCAGUGUGGUUAAGGUUAGGCAUUAGGGUUAGCAGUGUGGUUAAGGUUAGGGUUAGCAUUGUGGUUAAGGUUAGGGUUAGGCAUUAGGGGUAGCAGUGUGGUUAAGGUUAGCAGUGUGGUUAAGGUUAGGCAUUAGGGGUAGCAGUGUGGUUAAGGUUAGGGUUAGGCAUUAGGGUUAGCAGUGUGGUUAAGGUUAGGCAUUAGGGGUAGCAGUGUGGUUAAGGUUAGGGUUAGCAGUGUGGUUAAGUUAGGGUUUGGUUUAAAAUCCGAUGUUAUGACUUUGUGGCUGUGCCAACUUGUUAUCACUCUGUAGAGCUUCGUCCAGGACUAGAUUAAUGCCGAAACGCUGACCUGCCAUAGAUGAUGUGUUAUCGGUUGGUUAUUUGAUUAUACUAAGUGGG
ensembl:lncRNA